ACUAACAUUGAUUAUCAGCUGUUUUGUACGGAAAACGUGGAAUCUAAAUAAUAUACCGUUUUCCUGCUCUGCUGCUAUUGGCAAUACAUUUUUGUCAUGUCAUCUGCAACAGACGAUCAUACAUAUGUGGCGGAUUAUCGAUAUAGAUACAGCUAGGUAGCAAUAGCAGUGGAAGCCCGAAUUUGCAAGCCAAAUGAGGGAAAGACAGAAUUCUGAAAAGGAGCAUGUUUUUCAUUUCCACACAUGCAUGUGUAUCACUAUGGACAUCUAAUUUUUUUGUGGGAUUUUGUCCAGCAGUUUGCCUUAAAAGAAUUUUAUUAUAUUUUAGUUUCAGAUUUAUGUGGAUUCCAAUAAAAAGCAUACACAC